rnacentral:rRNA from 1 species
UACGUAGGUCGCGAGCGUUAUCCGGAAUUAUUGGGCGUAAAGAGUUCGUAGGUGGUUUGUUAAGUCUUAUGUGAAAGCCCUCGGCUCAACCGAGGAACUGCAUAAGAUACUGGCAAGCUAGAAUUUAGGAGAGGUAACUGGAAUUCCAUGUGUAGCGGUGGAAUGCGUAGAUAUAUGGAGGAACACCAAUAGCGAAGGCAGGUUACUGGACUAUAAUUGACACUGAGGAACGAAAGCGUGGGUAGCAAACAGG